UGAAUAAAGGAAGAUAGCAGUAGACUAGGAAGAGGCCCCUUGGUUGUGGGGAACCCUCUGGGGAAACCUCAGGAAGGGGUCUGGAGUUUUGUGGUCCCUAAACUGACUUCUGGACAGGAGCUUCAAGAUUCUGUCCUGGUGUUAACAGUGAAAAGAGGUAGAGAGGAAGGAGUGAGAAGAGGUCUCUCUGUGCAUCAGCGUGUGGACGGUAGGAGUUCUAACUGGGCACUGGCCUGUGGAUUCUGCUGGGACUCCCACUUUCCACAUUCAAUGUAAAACCUGUUAUUUUAGUGCACUUCCAAAAUAAAUCCUACCCGGUGACUGUGGGGCUGCUUAAGGACCUUUCUGUUGUCUCUCUGGACUCUAAUCCCUCUCAGAGCAUCAGGAGAUUUGAUGGUAGUUAUCAUCCUUGCUGCAACCCUGUUCUCCAGAGAGCUCCCACCCAUGGAGAAGGGCUAUCUAGAAUAGGAUUAGACUCCCCGCUUUGCAGUAUGACGGGAUGGAAAAGAGCAAGAGCGCUACAAUGGUGAGAAAGCGUUUCAAGGAUGGAACAUGGAAGAAUGUUCACAAAAAGGAAGGAAAUAGAGGAAAGAGAAAGAAAACACGGAAGAGGUGGCAAAUGAAAUCAGGAAACGGAGCCUCCAGGCCUGCCUUGAACUGCCUUGAAUUCCCUAUUAAAGCCCCUUGACUACUGAGGCGCUAUGCAUAUACCAACAUCCAUGAUGAAAAUUUACUUUCUUGAUUAAUUAUCUAUUACUCAUUUUACCUGAUUAAAUAUGACAAUUAUCUG